rnacentral:rRNA from 1 species
UGGUAAUGCCGGAUGCUCCAGUUGAUCGCAUGGUCUUCUGGGAAAGCUUUCGCGGUAUGGGAUGGGGUCGCGUCCUAUCAGCUUGACGGCGGGGUAACGGCCCACCGUGGCUUCGACGGGUAGCCGGCCUGAGAGGGCGACCGGCCACAUUGGGACUGAGAUACGGCCCAGACUCCUACGGGAGGCAGCAGUGGGGAAUAUUGCACAAUGGGCGCAAGCCUGAUGCAGCGACGCCGCGUGAGGGAUGGAGGCCUUCGGGUUGUAAACCUCUUUUAUCGGGGAGCAAGCGUGAGUGAGUUUACCCGUUGAAUAAGCACCGGCUAACUACGUGCCAGCAGCCGCGGUAAUACGUAGGGUGCAAGCGUUAUCCGGAAUUAUUGGGCGUAAAGGGCUCGUAGGCGGUUCGUCGCGUCCGGUGUGAAAGUCCAUCGCUUAACGGUGGAUCCGCGCCGGGUACGGGCGGGCUUGAGUGCGGUAGGGGAGACUGGAAUUCCCGGUGUAACGGUGGAAUGUGUAGAUAU